GCUGGGUGUGGUGGCUCACUCCUGAAAUCCCUGUGACUCAGGAGGCUGAGGCAGGAGGAUGGCAAGUUCAGGGCCAGCGUCAGCAACUUGGUGAGACCCUAAGCAACUUAGUGAGUUUCUGUUUCAA
rnacentral:sRNA from 1 species